ACUCCCCGAAAUGCAUUUAGGUGCAGCGUUGGAGUUAGAGUGUCACGGAGGUAGAGCUACCGAUAGGGCUAGGGGGUUUCACCACCUACCAACCCCUCGACGAACUCCGAAUGCCGUGACAUGUAUCCAGCAGUGAGGCGGUGGGUGCUAAGGUCCAUCGCCGAGAGGGAAACAACCCAGACCAUCAGCUAAGGUCCCUAAGUAUAAGUUAAGUUGAACAAACGAAGUGGAGAUGCUAUGACAGCUAGGAUGUUGGCUUGGAAGCAGCCAUUCAUUUAAAGAGUGCGUAACAGCUCACUAGUCGAGCGUUUCUGCGCGGAAAAUGAUCGGGCAUCAAACUUAUCACCGAAGCUAUGGAUUGAUUUCUUUUAGAAAUCACUGGUAGGGAGCAUUCCAGCGACAUUGAAGUUGUAUCGUGAGAUAUGGUGGAGUUUCUGGAAAAGAAAAU
rnacentral:rRNA from 1 species